AGCAAAGGAAACUCCACAGCUGACGGCACACAUCUGAAUGCAGGAUGUUGCAUGUUCAACUAUUCCAUAGUUGCAACAUCUGUUCUCAAAAAGAUCUUUCGUACGGUAAGUGAAGCCUUUUGCCACAAUAUACACAGCAACGUGUAGCUGAACCUUUUAAUGAAUUCUCCACCAGCUGCGAUUUACACAAAUGAACACGCCGAGUCCACCUUCACUUAACCAGCACAUCCAGUAGUGUACAAAGACAAAUGCAAGCAGGAGCCGGUUCAACAGGACGGCGUGCUGCACGCCGCCAUGGAUUUCGGCAGGCUGACGGGGAAGCACGGCGUGAGGAUCGCGCUGAGCCCCUCGUACUCGGUGGAGGACUGCAGUCUGGCCGUGGGGAAGCUGGUGGGCCACCGCAGCGUGAAGUCCGCAGCGCGCAUGAACAACGCGGUGGUCAUCUUCCUCGACAGCGUGGAGAAGUCGGACGCGGUGGUGGUCAGCGGGAUUGCCGUGCACGGCGCGCUCGUGCCCGUUCUGCCUCUCCCCACGCCGGCGGUGAGAGUGACGGUGUCGAACGUCCCCCCGUUCAUCGGGGACGAGGCUCUGGUCAAGGAGCUGUCAAAGUAUGGGAAGGUGUUGUCUCCCGUAAAGAAGGUCUCUUCGGGGUGCAAGUCCCCGCUGCUGAGACACGUGGUGUCACACAAAAGGCAACUCCUCAUGGUCCUCAAGACAGGACCAAGGAGCUCAACCUGAUGUUUGGAGUCGAAGUGGAGGACUUUGUGCAUGUGGUGUUUGCCACUUCUGACAAUAUGAACUGUUUCAGGUGUGGCAGAAAAGGACAUCUCGCCAGAACAUGUCCGGGAAAGGACUCUGCCGAGAGUGCAGAAGAACGAGGUGUGGAGGAUCGGGACGGUCAGGGAAGACAGGAGAAGACAGGUGGGAUCAAGCAGGCGGCUGAGAACGGACAGCAGGG
ensembl:lncRNA